AAAAAAAGUUGGAAACUCAUAGUCACAGAUUUCCUUUAAACCGAUUUUUUCUUGAAGAGGGUGCAAAAUUAAAAAAAUCCUGUUUUUCAUUUUUUCAAUAUAUGUCCCGGUUACCAUGGAAACGAGGAUGCAAAUCCCCAACUUGCUUAAUUUUCAAAAAAAUAGGGGUGCAUGCCUAUUUUGUCAUCUGGAAAGUACUAGAAAGUGUCUUUUAUUUUAGUACUUGCAAAUUUUAAAGGCAAACGAACAAGGUUUCAUACCAAACUAAUAUUUCCAAAUAUUUAUUUGAUUCUGGUAUGAUCUAGACUUUUAUCUGCAAGAAAAAAUAUAUUUAUGGAGCAAAACAUAUGUUUAUAUUGUGCUCUAAAUCUUGAAAAGUGCACAGGUCUCAGCAGAAAAGUAUAUUUGUUUGUAUAAAGGGAAGAUGAUAUUUCAAAAUGAAACAUAAAUCGUAGUGGGUCAUUCAGACACAUUCUUGUAGAUUUGGGCCAAAGUUUAUGAUUUUGGGCAUUUUUUCCUAUUUUUAUUACCUCCCCUUGAUGCUCUUCAUUUAGGAAACCACAAAGAGCUUAUCUAAGUUUACUUCCUGGAUUAUGCUGAAUUCAGAUUUCUACUUGGAUUUUGCAAAUUUUUAGUAUAUAGAUACAAUGACAGUCAGAGAUUUUAUGCUAAUGGGCAUGUGAUGCUUGGACGUGUCCCUUCAAAGUCCACGUUUAAAAUUUGCUGAAUAGCGACAUUGUUUGGGAAAAAUACUCUGAUAGAAAAGAGUCUAAACUGUGGAUAGACAUCCAAGUCUGUCAUCUGUCUGUUUAUCUCCAUAAGUGAAGUUUGUAUCAACUGACAGAAGGACCAGUGUUAAAGGAUAACACUACAAUACAGCUGUGAGUUGUUUCUUUUGAAAAUGACUGCUUGAUGAUAAAGUUUCAAACAACUAUGAAGUGAGUGGAUGUUCUAGAGAGACUAAUUCUUCAAAGAAUGAAUGAUCAUCAUCAUCCUUAUAUUGGAAUAAAAGGAAGGAAGUGACAGCUACAUGGUAAAAGUAAAUGCAGUUAGAAGACCUCUGAUAUCACCUGAAGAGCCAGCCUUCUCAAGAUUCUGUAUCAAAUGAAAAUAACUAGGACUGCUAAAAAUACUUUUUAUAACUUGCAAAUGUGCAGUCUGUGACAUAAUUGUCUGAUCCAGGUAGUUUAGUGUUGACAAGAUGACAUUUCAUCUCUGUAGUAGAGGACACAAGUUUGAAAUGCAGUAUGUCAUUGUGAAGGCAAAAUGUUUAUGAAAAUAGUGUGUGUGUUUUCCAAAUAGAGAGGCUGAAAGUGGGGAAUCAUCAAUUAGUGUUUUUUGAAAUAAGUUAUGGACAUCUGAAUAGUGAAGAUCUGUCCUUUUUUUGGAUUGCCACAGACCAAAAUAAUGAUUGGUGCCUUUGACAUAAGUAGAAGAACUCACACUGGACACCCUGAAGAUGGACUUAUGUUGUUUGCAUUAAUGUUUUUUUUUCAGAUUUAUGGAAAAGAAUUAGAAUGUCAUUUCCUAAAAGUGUUGAUAGUUGUUUAACCAAAGGCCCUGUAAUUGAAAAAAAAAUCUUUAUUCUUGACUUUACAUUAAAAUUUAAAAAAAUCUGAUAUUGUUUGAUUACUUUUGCAUGUAUAACAUUAAAUUUGUUAUAUUUAAAUUUGAUAAAACUUAAUGUAUUUUGAAAAAGAUGCACUUGAAUAUAUCUAAAUGGAAUAAACACAUGACAGUAUUUGAAUAUUUGUAAAAGAAAAAAGCACAGGUUUUGCAGUUCUCAUCAGAUUUGGAUACCAAUUUACAGCAUAAUUAUACAUGAAGGCUUAUUACUCAAACAUAUGCAAAUCUAAUUGUAUAUUUUCUACCAUAGAUAAUUUCAUUUCAUAUAGAUUUUCUAAAUCUUUAAAAAAUACUGAGAAAGUAUAGCAAAACAAUGAUUGAAUUAGUAUACUUGAUUUUGUGAGACUGUUGAAAUAUUAUAAUUCUUUUUCCCUCUUAGGCCUGUAUCAUAAAAUCAUAUUUUCUGAUGAAAUUUAUUUUUUAAGAAUGUCUGCAAUGCAGAUUUUGAUGAAAAUUCAUACAUUUGUAAAGUUACCUAUAUUGUGUUAGGUAAUUACUUAAGCCCAUAUAUACUAAUUGGCCAAUGAUUAAAGAGAACAUCUGAGUUUCUAGCUGACUUUUCUGACUAAUUUAAGACCUCAUUCAUGUAACAACAUCUAUUUAUCUUCAGAAAUCCAAUAAAAUUGUCAUCUGUAAAACAGGUUUCAUUCUAAGAUAUACAAGGCAUGUGUCAUCCUAUUUUACCAGCAUGUAUUUACUUUAAUAAAUAAAGUAGAUUUAGUUGUGUAUUUUGAUAUAUUUUUGAAGAAGCAUUAGGAGAUAUGUCUGCAACUGCAGUUUGUAUUAACUGAGUAUUUACUGGCCCUUGAAUGUGCAUGAUCAGGGGUUUUCUGAAUAAACUUAGUAAAGUCUUAAAUCUACAUUAUCUAUAGCUAUCCGUAAAAAGUCUGGCCAUUGUCUUGAUAGUUUGAAAGAAUUAAAAACAUUUGAGCCGCGCCAUGAGAAAACCAAUAUAGUGGCUUUGCGACCAGCACAGAUCCAGAGCAGCCCGCGCAGUCUGGUCAGGAUCCAUCCUGUUCGCUUUCAAAGCAUAUUACAAUUAGAGAAACUGUUAGCGAACAGCAUGGAUCCUGACCAGACUGUGCUGAUGCACAGGCUGGUAUGGAUCCAUGCUGGUCGCCAACGCACUAUGUUGGUUUUCUCAUGGCGUGGCUCAUUUAAAGUUGUAUCUAGCAAAAUAUUGACUAAACUGUUCUGUAGAUCAUUUGAUUUAAUUUGAUUGUUAAAUAAAGAAUGUGCAUCAUGAUUGUUGUUACAUGAACAUACUGUAUAUUUUUAAAUAUCGUAUUUUUCAGUCUUGGAUUAUACACUGUUAUUUGUUCAUAAUUUUGAAUUGUAUUUAAAAUGUAUAUAUUAAAUCAAAUGGCGAAGUAGACAUGAUUUUGCUUUUACUGCUAUUUGUUUCCAUGGCAACAAAAUGAUUUCCAAAGGUGAAAGGACACUGUCUUUACACAAACACACAUAGAUAUUUUUGUUAUUUUAUCCAAAAAUGUCAUUUAAUAUCAAUGGCUUUAUAGUAAUUGCAGCAAAAAAAUAACUAUGAGUUAAAGUUCUUUUUUAAUGCAAAAUGAAUGUUGUAACCAUGGCAGCUUGAAAAAAAUAUUGGCCAGUCAUGAUAAGUAACCGUGCAAUACCUUAAAGACCAGUAUCAGUUGGUUAUGAGUAUUUCCAACUGCUUUGAAACUCAAAAUUAGUUUACCCUAAAGAAAGAAAAGUGCAUACAAGGUUGUUGAGAACUGACCUUGUGACAAUGCUUUAAGUUUCAUAGAUCGUUAUUAUGGUUGUAUCCUUCUUAAUUCUGCCCAGAAUGUGCUUCAGGUGCGUUAGAUGCAUUGAUAGUUUGCAGAUAAACUUUUCUUGAUUCAUAGAAUACAAAAUUGAUACAGAAAGUGCUUUAAAAAGGUCUGAAUUAUAAUUUUCUUGUACGUUGCCAUGGUAACGGAACAUUCUCCUUAAUUUCUAGACAAAGUGUUGGACAGUAUAACUUUGUAAGAUGAUUUUACAUGAAAAACUUAUGUUUUGCUAUAAUUCUGUAUCUGGCAAUGUAUUAUUAUUUCAGGUUAUUCUGUAAUUUAGGCAUAAAUGAGUUUGCUGAAAACUCAUUUUUUGUCAAUUUUCAAAAUUCUGUAUAAAGCUCAAAUAUGAAUGACCCACUAAAAUUCCUCCUUAAAUUGAAAUGGGUAUCAUAGCUCUGCUGAAUCCAUACAAGUAUUAUAUUCAGAUGCGUGCACUUUUUUUUCUAUUAGAAGUUAAAAAAUAUACAUGCAGACCAAUUUUUAAAGAUAAUGUAAAAUCUUAAAAGGGGGUAUUUAUAAAAUUGUUGCUUCUAAAACUGUGAAAAUGUUGAAAGGCAAUAUUUGCUUUAAAUAAUCACUUCAGGUAUGUAUUUCAGGCAAAUAUGAAAAUUAGUGCUUUAUUUCAGACAUAGAGCCCACUAUGUGUGAAGAAAAUUGUAACAUUUUAGUAAAAUUUGACUCUCAGAAAUUGCCAUUUUUCACAAAAAGUAUAAUGUACCCGUUUCCAUGGUAACCAGAGCUGAUUCAUAUCUUUUCGCCCUUAAUUCUUCAUAUAUGGCUUGAAUACUAAAAAGGGUGCAAAUAUGAAGUAAUUCUGAGACUAUGAGUUUCCGACCCCUUCUUUAAUUUUUUAGUUCUUACA